GAAAACGCUUCCUGCUAUUGAAAAACAACCUUAUUUAAUCUAACCUAACCUAACCUAACCACCACAACCCCACUCCUCUCUCCCACCAGGUCCUGCCGCCCUCCGCCACCCGAGCCGCACAAGUGAGUGGCCAGCGGGUCGCCUCUGAUCACUCCCCGGGGUCAGGUCAGCAGACCGUGGGUUGAGGAAGGAGGGCAGUAAAGACGAACGGGUGUGGAAAUCAUGCAAGAAACACGAGGAGGAAUACAACUUGGUGUUAGAAAGGAGUGAAAUGUGUGAAGGACAACGUGAAGGACGACCUCGAGGACCCACGGACUCAGCAACACUCCUGGGGAACAAACGAGACGAGUCAAGGAGGAGGGGGACA